GGGCACCACAAGAACGCGUGGAGCAUGUGGCUUAAUUUGACUCAACGCGGGGAAUCUUACUAGGUCCGGACCGAGUCUAUGAACGUCGUACCGUUGGGUGCUACGUGAUUACUGGAUGAGUGGUGCAUGGCCGUUCUUAGUUCGUGGUGUUAAUUGUCUACUUAAUUGUUUCGAUUUUUAGUCUCGCGGCUAAGAUCUAUGCAACGAACGAGAUCGAGACCCGUGGUUUGAAUUCGGUAUUACUACGGGGAUCGCGUAACACUCAACGGUACGAUCGAAAGACUCGGCAAUAACAGGUCUGUGAUGCCCUCAGAUGUUCUAGGCUGCACACGUGCUACAUUGUGAGUUGUAGUAUAUUGUGUAUGCGUAGAUAUGUCUAAGAUCCCCCGCACCGAGUCUCAANUUACUCACGUGGUUGGACUCACCGAUUGAAUGUAAUUAUUCGGUAUACUAACUAGGAAUGCCUCGUACGGGA
rnacentral:rRNA from 1 species